rnacentral:rRNA from 1 species
GCCAGCGAGUAAUGUCGGGAACUCCAGGGAGACUGCCGGUGAUAAACCGGAGGAAGGUGGGGACGACGUCAAGUCAUCAUGGCCCUUACGAGUAGGGCUACACACGUGCUACAAUGGCGCAUACAGAGGGCGGCCAACUUGCGAAAGUGAGCGAAUCCCAAAAAGUGCGUCGUAGUCCGGAUUGGAGUCUGCAACUCGACUCCAUGAAGUCGGAAUCGCUAGUAAUCGUGGAUCAGAAUGCCACGGUGAAUACGUUCCCGGGCCUUGUACACACCGCCCGUCACACCAUGGGAGUGGGCUGCAAAAGAAGUAGGUAGUUUAACCUUCGGGGGGACGCUUACCACUUUGUGGUUCAUGACUGGGGUGAAGUCGUAACAAGGUAGCGCUAGGGGAACCUGGCGCUGGAUCACCUCCUUA